AUCGCUUCCCCGCCUUAUGGCUAAGAUCAAAGUGUAGUAUCUGUUUUUAUCAGCUUAACAUCUGAUAUAUCCUCCACCGGAGGACAACAAAUUUUAAACUGAUUUUUGGAUAUUGACGGAAGGGGCUGGCUCCACUUCUGGCGCGGGUUGGCCUGGUAUUGCAGUACCGCCGGGAUUUUGGCCCAUCCUAC